rnacentral:rRNA from 1 species
UACGGGGGGGGCAAGCGUUGUUCGGAAUCACUGGGCGUAAAGCGCACGUAGGCGGCUUUUUAAGUCAGAGGUGAAAUCCUGGAGCUCAACUCCAGAACUGCCUUUGAUACUGGAGAGCUUGAGUCCGGGAGAGGUGAGUGGAACUGCGAGUGUAGAGGUGAAAUUCGUAGAUAUUCGCAAGAACACCAGUGGCGAAGGCCGCUCACUGGCCCGGUACUGACGCUGAGGUGCGAAAGCGUGGGGAGCAAACAGG